rnacentral:miRNA from 1 species
AACUAAGUUUGUUAUUGGUAUGAGCUUUCGUGUGCAUGCACACCUCUCCAGAUAUCUGAAGAAGUGUGCAUGCACAUGAAAGCUCAUACCAAUAACAAACUUAGUUGG